GUAAAUGGAUUUCCAUGUUUUCAAUUGGUUUCACGUUCCUUCUUUGCUCUAGUUUAAUAAGAAACCAAGGUGCUGAACAACUCGCCUUUCACUUCAAUGUCUUUACCAAAGCUGGCAGUAGCUUUAUUACUCUGAGUGUUGAAUUCAGCCCUUAACACCAUCUAGAGUCGGGACAAUAGGGAGCAACUGCUGAAGUGCACUGAACCUGGACCUCUGGUGCUGUACUGCUGAACUGUGGGACUCUGAAAUAAGCAGACCAGAAUUUUAUGUUCUGAUUUGAGAGGUGAAAGAACGGGAAUUACUGUACUAAGCAAUAUGAGAUAACGUUCACUGACUCGAAUAUAGAAUUGUUUCAAACAGGGGUUCAAGUCCUGCUCCUCCUAAUUUUUUUGUUGUUGUUUUUACAAGACAGGAAAGGGACUGUGCCUAAAGCACCGCACAGAUCUUCCUGUUCUCUCUUCCUCUUAAUAUUACAUUUGAGCUGUCACGAGAAUACAUCAACAGCGUUGUCUAAAAUACAAUUACUCAUGUUUUAAAACUGUAAAAUCUCCUUAUACACGCAGAGAUGACUUUCACAGCACACUCACUGCUCAGACAUGCCAUAAAUGCCUUUACAUGGCCUUUAGGGGAAGUUGGUUUACUGUUUCACUAUUUUAUGUUUUCUUACCAGAGCUUACAGUAAAAAAUAUGGUGUUUUUUUAAACAAACAAGCAAAACUUGUGUGUCUUGGCUUUUUAUUUUUUGAAAGGUACAGAAAAGAAUACCAAACAACCACAUAUAAGCAGCAAUUGAUGGAUUGUAGGACGCAUAUGCAAAAUGUCAUUGCCAACGAGCAGUUUAGUUUGUAUGGCAUGCUGUGCAUGUCUCUGAUCUUGACUUAGCAUGCUUGGCUCUGACAAAAAUAAAACCAAGAUAUCCAGUCUGUCAAUCUGUUCUGGUGGAUCACAUCUUUGUGUUGUUGGAAGUUGCAAGAACUUUUCUGAUAGAUUUCAGCAGAACUAAGAAUUACUUGAUUCUAUUGCUGACUUGAUCUCUGCUUUUUGAAACUUUGGACCAGUCUGCGGGUGCGAUGAGUCUUCUGCUUAUUAACACAAGUAUGAAAAAUAGCUCAUGUUCAAGAUCACAGCAUGCAUAGGAGUCCAAACCAUCUUGAGAUAUUGGACAAAGGAAUUAGAGGUCAGCUGGGCAGAAAAAUGUCAGUGUCUUAUGUCUACGCUGGAUAGAAGAAGAAUUAAGAGACUUAUUGAUUCGAGGAAGAUUUAGACCAGUCACUGAGGAGGAACUAGCAGGAAGAGAUUUUCAAGGCAGGUCCUUGGGCUGUGUGUGGCAAUUGGGCAUGUACCUGUUGGAAAUGCUUCAGGCAGAGAAAGUGGAGCUCCAUGAGCUGUCGGCAUCCCAGGGGCAGAGCAGAGGCAGAUUUUGGCUGUGAAGUUGACCCAGCCAAUGCCACGCAGGACAAGGUGGCAUUGAGAAGGUCCACAGCAGCAGCAUGUGUGCUGGAGGGGAACCACAAGCCGUGAAGGAUAGGGCAAAAGUGCCCGCUUCAUAAAUACACAUAAACAAACAAAACAGCUCACCAGCAGACAAUUGUUUUCAGCAGCGUUCUUGAAUGAAUAAGUCAGAAUAAAGACACACGGGAAAACCCAGCAAUAAGAAACCUGAAGAGUCGUGGAUGGAGCAGAUUAAAAGUUCUGCCCAAAAUUCAGUGCUUCAGUGACCAUGGUUUCUCCUCUGCGAAGGCCCUCCUGUUGCCUUAGAAAAUUAUCAUCCCGUUUACUUAAUUAGGCUGACUCCAAGCUUUAGGCAUCGGCCUGCCAAGAUGAUGCACACAGCUCUUGUCUAUUUGCCCUCAGCAAGCUUGCCUGCCUUGCCCUCUUCUGUGCUCUGAAACCCAGAAAUUCCACACAGAUGGUAUUUUUUAAGAAGGUGUUUCUAAUAGCGAUGAUUUGGAAGGGAAUGCUGAGCCUUCUUGAAAUAUGGAGGAGACAUUGACGAGACCACUGUGUUUUCUGUUUGCGUGUGAAUGACAGAUGCUAUUCACGUCAAACAGAGGAUGCAUAAAGUCAUGGUGAUUGUAAAGACAUGGUGGGCAUAUUUCUGCACUGCAAAACUCAGGAACACGGCCUGCCAGGUAGUUCAUCCCCACGUGCUGGAGGAGCCGUGCCCUUUGGUUGUUCAUCAUCAAUAGGACUGAAAGCCUCUUGGAAAAAAAAGAGAGUCAAUGACCUCUAUAGCAUCACGUCAAACUUCUAGACUGCUGAUCAUCACUGUGUCAGUCCUUCAUUUUAGAGAAGUUUCUCUUUUACAGUACUAGCGCGGGGUUCUGGUGACAGCAUUUGGAGAAGGAAUGGUGAGCUCAAGUGUGAAAAGUGAAUGCAAAAGGCUGUGGAAAGAUGUAUCCACCUGGUUUUACUGAAGAAAACAAUACAGCUCUCCAAGUGCUGGUGAAGCCCUUUCGUUGCUUUCUGCGUGGUUCAGCUCCUGCUUCCCUCUGAUUUUGUUAGUGUUUGGCCGAAUCCCAAUUCCUUUUGAAGAUGAUUAAUUGCAGAACAGCUUAUCCUUAUUAGUGGUACUCAGACCCAACUGAAUUUACCACAGAAGUAAUUACCAGGGUCUUGGUGAUGGGUUUCCUAUUGAAAACGCUUGGGUUGACUGCAGGAGGAGCUGGGAACCAGGGUUUCCCAUGGCUUUGGACAGCUGGGAAACACAUUUCAGCCACAAAAGCACUCAGGGACCUCUAGCCCUCGCAUCCACAUCCAAUGUCCUGUCCCCACCAUCACAGGCCCUGUGCCGAGGAUCACGUGGCACCGUGAUGGGAUCACACGUUUACCAAAGCCACUCUUGUCACCGUAUGGCAACACAAUGUUUCUCCCUGCCUCUAGAAGCUGAGAAUUGGAAGAGGUCAUGAACAUCAACAAAUAUUGUCCAGAUUUUCUUCAGGUCACUUUGUUGCUAAGGGAGUUUGACACUGCCAUGAUGAGCACUGCAGGAAUUCAGAAUGCACCAGCAUGAAUUGUAGAAUCAUAUACUACUUUGGGUUGGAGGGGACCUUUAAGAUCAUCAUCCAAUCCUCCUGCUAUAGGCAGGGACACCUCCCUCUAGACCAAGCUGCUCAAAGCUCCAUCCAGCCUGGCCUUGAAUGCUUCCGGGGAGGGGGCAUCCACAGCCUCUCUGGGCAACCUGUUCCAGUGUCUCACUACCCUCACAAUAAAGAAUUUCUUUCUGAUAUCUAGUCUAGAUCUACCCUCUUCUGCUUUAAAGCCAUUUCCCCUCGUGCUUUUGAAGGAGAAGCAUUUUUAUGGGUAACCACACACUUUACUUUAGGAAGUAUUUACACAGCUGUGACCUUUUUGAACGAUCAGCUCCCCUGGUGUUUGGGAGCAGUGUCAUCUUCAAAUGGCAUGGCUAGACCUAGAGGUUGCCUGCUUGAGGGCCCUGCCCACCCGUGAUCUUCUCCCCCUCUCCCUCUACCUCUUAAGUUCUUUACAAGGAGAGUGGUGAGGUGCUGGAACGGGCUGCCCAGAGAGGCUGUGGAUGCCCCGUCCCUGGAGGUGUUCAAGGCCACAUUGGAUGGGGCCCUGGGCAACCUGGUCUAGUAAAUGGGGAGGUUCGUGGCCCUGCUAGCAGGGGGGUUGGAGAUUCAUGAUCCUUGAGGUCCCUUCCAACCCAGGCCAUUCUGUGAUUCUGUGAUUCUGUGUGAUUCUGUGAUACGUGGAGUAUCCCACCCCCCUAUGCCCCUGUCUCACCCCAGCUCCUCUCCUUGUCCCGGCGACUCCCAGCCCUCACUGCUUACCACCUCCCUUCCUCUUCUACAGAUCCACUGCUGAAAAAGAGACAUAAAUCCAAAAACAUCACUGGUGCCUCAUGUGCAAACACUUUAACAUUAAGCUGACACAGUCCUGUUGUUCAGCAAGAGUAAUUACCUGACUCUGCCUUCUGCAUUGCUAAAUCACAGCAAACUGAUUAAAGCUGCAUGCUAGCGUCUGCUAUGACUCUCAAAUGAGAAGAAAUAGCAGCACGUCCUGGACCUGAUUCAACAGGGACAACAUAUUAUUGUUGAGAAUAGUCCAAGCCCUUUCCAAAAGUCGCAGGGCACGUUUCCCUCAUAUCAGUAAAACUUCCUUGACCAAAAGGGGUGGGACCAUGCUGUGAGCAGCCCUUUCAGAGACCUGAAACCUUCCUGUAAUACUUAUCGGCCUUUCAGUAUUAAAAGGGAAUUUAUAAACAUGAGGGAAAACAACUUUUGACACAGGUAGACAGGGAUGGGUGAAGGGAGAAUGGUUUUAAACUAAAGGAGGAAAGAUUUAGAGUAGACACCAGGGGGAUGUUCUUCACAGAGGGAGUGGUGAGGUGCUGGAACAGGCUGCUCAGAGAGGCUGUGGAUGCCCUGUCCCUGGAGGUGUUUAAGGCCAGGUUGGAUGGGGCCCUGGGCAAUCUUAUCUAGUACUUGGUCUAGCAGCUGGCAGCCCUGCCUGUGACAGGGGUAUUGGAACUUGAUGAUCCUUGAGGCCCUUCCAACCCAAGCCAUUCUAUGGUUCUGUGAGUCUAUGAAACUUUGACUCUGCUGGAAAUAAAUAAAUAAAUAAAUAACUAUCCACAUGAAGAAUUAUCAAGACACUUCAAAAUGACUGCAGACGCCUACGGCUCACUAAAAAUAUGCACCAAUGGCAUUAUGCACUGCACCAGCUAUCGUCUCUGCACUUGAGGUUGUGAACUGACAACUUCCUCA
ensembl:lncRNA